GAUGAACGCUGGCGGCGUGCCUAAUACAUGCAAGUCGAGCGGUAAGGCUUUCACUCUGUAUUUAAUGAGUUGAAUAUAGUGUGAAAGUACACGAGCGGCGGACGGCUGAGUAACGCGUAGGAACGUACCCCAAAGUGAGGGAUAAGCACCGGAAACGGUGUCUAAUACCGCAUGUGAUCUUCGGAUUAAAGCUUUAUGCGCUUUGGGAGCGGCCUGCGUAAGAUUAGUUUGUUGGUGAGGUAAUGGCUCACCAAGACUACGAUCUUUAGCUGGUCUGAGAGGAUGAUCAGCCAGACUGGGACUGAGACACGGCCCAGACUCCUACGGGAGGCAGCAGUAGGGAAUUUUCCACAAUGGACGAAAGUCUGAUGGAGCAACGCCGCGUGCAGGAUGAAGGCCUUCGGGUGUAAACUGCUUUAUCUGUGACGAUUAUGACGGUAGCAGAUGAAUAAGGAUACGGCUAACUCCGUGCCAGCAGCCGCGGUAAUC
rnacentral:rRNA from 1 species